CAUACUUGAAUGAAAAUAGGUGCGAAAUGUUGGCUGGAACUUAUACGUCUUCGUUCGCUUAAAAGGGAAGUUCGGUUAAAGGCCGACACGGACCCGCCACUGUAAAGGGCAGCAGCUUACACAGGCUGCGCUCCCCUCACAAAUAAGCCACUGGCUGAUGAGCUUCUUUUCGUCGCAAGACGAAUAGCAGAUGCUUACCCUAGCUGGGAAGGGAAGAGAGGGAGGCCCCAAGUCAGGAGACCUGCCUGUUUUAACAUCACUGU
rnacentral:ncRNA from 2 species